CUAAAGCAAGAUUAAGAAUUAAACAUGUGUAAUAGAAGUAUCAGGAAUUCAGAAUGGUAGUUGGCGCAUAUGGAAUGGAUUUGAUGGCCGAAAAUUGUGUACCCUGUGAAGAAUUAAUUACUGGUUUUAAGUUUUAACUGCAUACUGUUAUCAUUUCAGGGAAAGGUGAUCUUCAGAAGAGCUGAGUAAGGUACAGCUUAAAACCAUUAUUUAUUCUAUAGUGAUCUUCAGCACACUGCCACUGCACUUUCUUGCUAGAUUAAUAACUCUGAAUAUCUGAUAUUUUCCUCCUAUGGUCUGAAUGUUGGGUUAGUUCCAACUGAUUAUUCACUUAACUCUGGCAGCAUUUCAAUUCCAGAAUCAAUUUGAUUACAGUCUUUUCUUCUCUGUGCUAAAUUCUGGAAGUUGCUAGCUUCUAUUCAUCAAGUUAUACAUACAAGUUUGUAGUCUGAAAUUCAUUCAGAACACCAGGUUUAGUCAAUUAUUUCUUUUUCCAUAUAUGUAUGCAUAAAGAUCAAAUUCUCUCUAGGUGGAGUGAGCAGCUCUUUGAAUCUUUCAGUGCUUCAUUUUACUUCAAUUGUAAAAGGAGAUGUGCCUAUAAGUAUGUCCUUUGCUUCAGAGGUCAUUAGCAUUAACUGAUAUGCUUACAUGUUUGCCACUGAAAUGUGUUAUGUAGGCUGCAGCAGAAGGUUCAUUUUCCCUUUUGUGAGGUGCCAUAACUUUCUGGUGUCUGUUGAAGGACAAAGAUUAUAAAUGACAUAUAUUGCAGGAAAAUGACAUAUUUUGAGUGUUUUUAUAUGUUGGGAACGUGCAUUGCACGUGCACGAUUACUAGUGAAACAAAAUUGGCCAGUAGCUUAGGUUACAUCAAACUGCCAUGCACGCGAACCCAAGCGCGAGGCUGCCGGCCAGGGGAUCCAUUGCGUGGUCGUGGGCAAGGCUGCAAGAACCGAAGCUCGAGGCAAGAGCGUCCGCGAGAGAGUACUGAGCGGCGGCAGCGACUGAUCUGACUCCUCCAUUUCGCUUUCCACCAUGUCGUCCGCGUCCAUGGCAGGCGCCUGCUCCUUCCUGGUGGCAGCAGCGGGGAAGCCGCCGCGCCGGAGCUCCCUCCAGCGGUGCUUCAUGACGCGCGAGGUCCGGCCGUAGACGGCGCGGCCGAUCUCCUUCCAGCGGUCGCCGAGGCGGUAGUGGAGGCGUAGGAGCUCAUCGUCUUCGCGGGCGGUGAAGGGGCGGUGGUAGACGUCGCGGGCGAGGUGGUGGCGCCACCUGUCGCGGCACGACCUGGCUCCUAGCGACCCGGCUCCAGCGGCGGAAGCCGUUCUCCUUGGCGAGGCGCUGCAGCCGCGCGUCCUCCUCCGGCGUCCACGCCGGCAGCAGCUUGAGGCGGACGACGCACCUCGCGCGAGGCGGCGGCGUCAGCGGUGGCGUCGCCAUGAUCACCUCCUGAUCCAUCGCGACCUCUCAAUCUGCUAGAGGCUAGAGCUGAGAGCUACGUACGGCAACGACAAGUGAGGAUUCAGAUGAAGAAUCGCGAUUCACCAGUAGUUGAUGAAAGACAGGGCGGCGCCGGCCCACUGUAUAUAUAGCGCUGAUUCCUUCAUUCGCGUGGGAUUACGAAUCGGAGUCGGAGUGAUUAUAAUUAAUUAGCUUAACAUGCACGCGUGAAUUAAUCGAUCGCUAGCUUCGGACUCCGUAUUUACUAAUUAAUAGUAUUUCCAAUCGAACAAAACUACUCCAUUUCAGUGCAUCGGUUGUUUACUAUAUAUCCUGUCUGACUUUUGAAACAAAAUUCUAUGAAUGUUGAACUCAUUUGGCAAAUUAAACCUAAAAACUGCCUGAGAAAAGACUAGUUCACAAACGGCCGCGUGCGAUCAGUUGUGCUUGCCAUUUCGUUUGCCCAGACGAGUAUUACUGUUUCUUUUUUUAUUUUUGGGCUUUUAUCGCAUGGGCCUGUUUCAGUGUUUCCUUUUCAGAUUGGAAAAAGUACACUAAUGGUCCCUCGACUUGUCAUCGAGUUACAAAAUCGUCCCCCAACAACAAAACAAGAUAUAAGAUAUCCCUCAACUUACAAAAUCCAUUUAUUUUAGGUCUUUUGGUGAUUUUGUUA
rnacentral:lncRNA from 1 species